UUAAAGUAUGAUGGAAGCGAGCGCGAACGCAGGCUUCCGCUACCAGAAAUUAUACUGUCGAGUUACCGACGUUAGCGGUAAUCGCAGAGGUCAGCCUAGUCGAAGUGCAAUGAAUAAGCCUCACUCUGGAAGAAGCCGCUUCGUGAUCCGACUUAACUUCCCAGUCAGGUAAGUAUACAAUUUGGAUUUAUUAAAACGACCGAGCUUUUUACGGUCAUUUUUGAUUGUGGUGUUAUAUUAAAAAAUAAACAAGUUUAAAAUCUUAUAACAGUUUGAUAAGUCAAAAAAGCAAAAUAAAAUUAGUUUAAUGUUGUAUUUGUUAAUAUUUUGUUUACCUUAUCUAAAUAGCAACAAAAAUUAUUUAAAAAAAUAAAAAUAGAAUACAACGUUAAUUAGCAUAAAAUAAUCUACAAAAUUAAGUUUAUUUAAAUUAAAUUAUGAAUAAGGUUGAUGUUGUUUUCUAAAGCGUUAUAAGCAACAGAUAUAUAUAUUUGUGUAUCUAACAAUAAACUCUUGCAGCUUAGGGUUGUUAAAAGCAUCUAUAGUAUUUUAGGUUACUUUUGAUAUUUUCCUUUGAUGUGUUCAAAUGUUCAAAGAGAAAUUAGCAUUGCUUAGAUAUCAACUCAUGUAGCUCUAAUUUGUACAUUUGAUGUUUUACAAUGCUGAAGUUCUUUUGGCUCUUAAAACUCAAAUAGAGCCUGCAGAAUCUGUAUCUUUGUUUCGACUAGCACCUCUUUAUCCUCCAAGGACAACACGUAAAGUUGGGAAAUUAUGUACCAGGUAUGAUGUUCUAUGCUCAGAAACAAAGCGUUUUCAUCAAUUAAUGGCGUUUCUCAAAGUAUAGGCUGUCUAAAAUUCUUUUGAAUCAUUGUAAGCAAUCUGGAACCCUUAACAAUUUUUCAUAAAUCAUGAAGCAUUGAAAUUAUAAUGAACUGACUUGCAUCUUUUUGCUGAAAGCAGAGGAACUUGCAGAAUUAUUUCCUAUAAUGAUAAUGAUUAAAUAUUAUAUAAAAAGUAAGUCUUCUGAAACAAUUAAUUUGUUGAAAAAAGAUAUUAAAACAUAUUGUGCUGGUGAAGAGCUAAUUGCUCUUUGUUGUUUGUAAUUAUGGGUUUGUUAAAGUGGGUUUGUUUAAUUUUGCUGUUCAUCUCUUUUUAUUAUGUUUAUUUGUGAUUAUGAUAGCGAAAAAAAAUUUGCUAAAUUUUUCUAAAAUAAAGUUGCAAAUUUUUAAAUGACAUUUAUCUGACAUAAAAAGAUAUUCAGUAGUUUCUGAUUUAUGUGUAUUUUUUACAGUUUUUGAAGAUAAUUAGUCAUUGCGAGAAGUUUUCAAAGAUAUUUAACUCAUUUAAAACACUACUGAUUGUAUUAGUAACGACAAAGGUGAAUUUAUUAUAUCAGUAGAUUAGACAGAUGAUAAAGUUGAACAACUAAAAGAAGAGUAGGAUGUAUUUGAUGUUGCAUCUGUUUUGUGGACCUUUUGAUUUAAUGCACCUAGUAAGAAGACUGUUUCCUGUGAUGAAUUUAAUCUACGAAUCUUUCAAUCUGUGAAUGUAGUGUAAGAUUAUUUUUGAUGUAAAAGACCAUUUUGAUGUAUAUAAACUCUUGUUUCUAAUAAUUAGUUUCAGUUUAGUUCUAGAGUAAAACAAGUUUCUUAAUAGUAGUAAAGUUAAUUUCCUAACCAAUAAAAUACAUUAUUAUAUGAUGAUAAUCUGACAGUUUUCACUUCUUUAAUGGCUGGGUGGGUAGGGGAGAAGUGGGGCAUUGAAAAUAUUACAAGAAUAAUUUGAUAUCUUUUUUUAUAAAAUGUAUGUGCUGAACCAAACAAGUUUUAACAAAUAAAUUAUCAUUCAGGCACAGGUUCUAUCGCUUAAGAUAGUCAGCAGGUUAUAAUAAAGUAUAUAUUCUUUUAAUUUUUGAGGAACCGUGCCAUUGAUGUAAAGUGGGACAUGUGUGAGGUAAAGUGGGACUAGCAAGUAAUUAAAAAUAUAUUGACAAAAAUUAUGGUUUAAAAACUAUUAAUAUCGUAAACCACAUAAUCCCUAAAUUAGCAUCUGCUAAGGUUUCUUUUCUUUAUUGUGCUAGUCAUUUUCUUAUUCACAGUUCCAUUUUCUACCUCUACAACUCUCUUAUUCGCCCCACUAUGUAAUAUUCUUGUCAUAUUUUGGCUCCUUCUUCUAAUUAUGCUAUUUCUCUUCUAGACAAGGUCCAAAAACAAAUUUUUAAGGUAGCUGGACCCACUCUAUCUGCCAAACUUGAACUUCUCUCCCAUUGUCAUAAGGUUUUCUCUUUUCUACAAAUACUAUCAUAAUAAUUGCUUUUACUGUAUCUGUCCCUACAUGUUCUAAAAACUUUUGUUUAUUUAGUUUUUUUCUACUAACUUUAACCGUUUAGAACUCUUUGCUGCCUUCAUGUUUUCCUGACUCAUACAACCUUCAAUGUUUCAAAUCUUUUGUCAACUGUUUUCUUGCUUUUUAACUCUUUGUUUUCUAGUAACUCUCAACUUAAUAGUGGUUGUUUGCAGCCUUGUUUGGACUGAAUCAGAAUAAAAAAAUAAAUUAAAAAAAAUUAAAUUUCUUUGUCCCACUUCACCCUUCAAAAAAUCGUUUUAGGAGUACUUUUCAAAACUACCCUCUAAAAAGUUGAGUUAUUUACCACACACAGGAAGACAAAACAGUUUCUGCUAAAUAGAGGGGAAGAUAACAAAGACUACAGACUUCUCCUAAUUGAAUUUUUUUGAAAUGUACCAUUUCUCCCCAUUUUCUCCUAUCUGUAUCUUUUUCGACUUGCAUUCUUGAGUUUUUUCAUAAAUUAAAUACAUCUACACUGUUACUUUGAUAUCUUAUACCAUGUUAUUCCUUUCAAAAUGUGCAAUCUUUGUAUUGAGAAAUCAUAGAUAAAAAAACAGGACUUGUGUACAUUUUUAGGUGUAGUUCUCGACACAAUUCUUUCCUGGAGAGUUUUCCACUUAAGUAUAAAUGAGAAUAAAAUAUCCAAACAGCGUAUUCGAUAAAGCCAAACUGUUGUUUAACAAAAAAUGUUUAAAAAAACUUAUAAUUUUUUUUUUUUUUUUUUUUUUUAUUUACUUGUGCCUACCUAUAUAAAAAAAACUCAGUGGACAUGCUGUAAAAGUCAUUUCGAAUGUAAAUCAUUAAAGACCCUCAAAAGCUCUAUUUAGUAAACUAAAUAUCAAUAUUUUUCAACCAAAGAUUUAAUAUAUACUCAUUUUAAUGUACGAACUUGAUUAAAAAAUAACGCCUUUGAUAUUCUUUUAUUAAUUUUUUUUUCUUUUUAAUAACUCUUUCAGCUAUUUCGCUUUUUAUAUUUUGAGGUUUUAAAUUUUGUAAGUACUUGUUUUUUCUUUUAUAUAUUUCAAGUAAUUUUGUCAGAAGAAAAGAAAGGUUUUUUUAUUUUAAAAAGAAAGGUUUUUUUAUUUUGAAAAGAAAGGUUUUUUAAUUUUGAAAAGAAAAGUUUUUUUUAUCUAAAAUAUUGUAAUUAUUUGUAUAUCUUGUUAUUGUAACAAACGGCUAAACUUUUUUAUAUAUAAACACUUGGGUUUGAAAUUUUAUGUUAAUCUUUUUUUUUUUUUUUUUUUUUUGAUUUGAUUUACACUUGUUAUAUUUUUGUAUUUACUAGUAAUAUGCAUUAUAGACUGCUACUAACCAUAUUCAACUAGAUUGGAACGACUAAUAGACAUCGUAAUCCUAUUCAGAUUGAAUAUGUAAUAAAAAGUGACAUUCGGACAGAAGUCGAUUAGAUGAUUUUCUCGUAAUUGGUAGUUGAAAUUAUAUUUUUCUUUUCUUUUCUGGGAUUAUACGUUUUAGUUUAUGUAUAUUUAUAAUAGCACUUUAGUACUAAAAUUGAAACAUGAAAAACCUAAUUUUA